CCUCUCGUGGUCGUCCUUCUCAUCGCCGCCCACGUCAUCGCAUUUGUAUACUGGUUUUACAAAUUAGCUACGGAUAGGGCAUCGAAGAAAACGAAGAAGCAGUAACGACUGCAAAGGAGAAUCGGCGAAGGAAGUGAACAUUAUAUGUUUUCGUCAUUUGCGUUUCUCGUUUUUGAUUAAUUUUCUGACAAUUGUUCGCUUUUUAUUGAAAUAUUGUUCGAUUACUUAGUCUCAUCUAUGAAUUGGUUGUGCAAAGUCGUUAAAAAAUUCUAUGUGAAAUGAUUCCGAUUUGAGUAGUGCAGUUCCUUUGAUUUCGAUCC